rnacentral:lncRNA from 1 species
GAAUCCUACUGAUAAUUUGUACUAAAAUGGAAUAAUUUGUUUUAAUUUAAAUGUAGAAAAGGUAUAAUAUAAAAUAUAUGUAUUAUUAUGUCACUAUAUAUAUAUAUAUAUAUAUAUAUGUUUUUUUUUGUUUUGGGUUUUUUUUUUUGCCUUUUCUAGGCUGCUCCCACAGCAUAUGGAGAUUCCCAGGCUAGGGGUUGAAUCGGAGCUGUAGCCACCGGCCUACGCCAGAGCCACAGCUACGCAGGAUCCGAGCCAGUCUGCAACGUACUCCACAGCUCAUGGCAACGCUGGAUCCUUAACCCACUGAGCAAGGCCAGGGAUCAAACCCACAACCUCAUGGUUCCUAAUUGGAUUCGUUAACCACUGAGCCACGACGGGAAUUCCUAUAUCACAUAAUAUAUUGCAUAAUUAUAGUAAAUAUGGUUUUAAGUGUAAUAUAAUUUUUUAUGAUGUAUGUAAGACUGAAAAGAAACAACCCAAAUGUUUAUGAUUUACUAUUGACUACCUGUUGUUCUAUAUCUUCCCAGUAUCAUAAAACAAUAGAUAGUAAUUACUUCUAUAAUGAGGAAAGAAUACAAUGCAGACUACAUGAAAAUGACUUCUGUUCUUCUUAGUGCUCUGUGGAGACCAGAGCUGAGGAUGUCUCUUCUCCAGGUCGGACCUGGACUGUCUGGUUUCCAGACCCAAUUCAGAAAACACCACGCUUCAACAAAGUCUAAAGCUCGUAAUGAAGAAGCUAUAGAUCUGGGAUCUGAGAAGGAUGAACCCACGACCUUCAGGGAAGUGGCCAGGAAGCCGCGAGUUUAAGGGAACCAAACAGGUACCCACGUCUUGUCCUAGUUGCUCCUGGGGGCUGUCGGGGCCUCCUUGGGUUUUGUCUUCUGUCACUAGAAGUGUUCAAAGAUAAAGUAAUGCAUAUUUAAACUUUUAAGAGUUUUUUGGGGGCAAAAGUUCGCUUGACUCGAGUAGCGUCUACUCUAAGAGAUGGAAAGGGGCUCCGGGGAGCUGUGCAGAUGAACGUCUUUUGUAAGCAGACAUGAGGGGGAGUAAGGAGAUUAAUAAGGCAAAAGAGUGGGUUAUUGGUUAUUGCAAAGUUAGUUUCCUUUAGCCGGUGGCAGGGGUCUAUCAGGGGAAUGACCUGACACGUGCUGUUCCGCUGAUUCCUGAUUGGUUUAAAAUUCCGCUUCUGAGGGAGUUAAAACUGUAAGGAAAUGAAGUCUUGGUUUGGUGAUGUAGAGCAUGGCAUAAACAACUCCAUUUUGGGCCUAUUGUCUCGAUUUUAAUCCUUCCUUUUUCCUUUCUUCCUUCCGCCUCUCCUUUCUUCAACAACUAUUGAGUUAGUAUCAGGCAUUCAUGAGCAAAACAAAGCAGAUGUGAUUUCUAAUCUUCUAAUCUAAUGUGCUCAAUUAGUUGUAAUACACUGAUAGGAAAGUAAUCAUUUAUUUGGGUGCCCAGAAGGGUACAUAGUAUAGCCAGGUGGAGGGGAGACUGGAGAUGAGAGAUCAGAGCUUUCCCCCAGGGAGUGACUUCUAAGCUGAAACCUAAAGCAUUGACAAGAGUAAACCAGAUUGGGGGUGAGAGUGGGGCUUGGGGAAAUUCCAAGAAGGAAGGGCCUGAGAUGAAAUAGAAAUUCAGUGUGGGGAACAUCCAUUGUGUGCUGUGAAAUAAAUUAAGAUAAACGAGCCUAGAGAGGUAGAAG